rnacentral:rRNA from 1 species
UACGUAGGGACCAAGCGUUGUUCGGAUUUACUGGGCGUAAAGGGCGCGUAGGCGGCAAUUCAAGUCAGCUGUGAAAUCUCCGGGCUUAACCCGGAGCGGCCAAGUGAUACUGUCGUGCUAGAGUGCGGAAGGGGCUACUGGAAUUCUCGGUGUAGCGGUGAAAUGCGUAGAUAUCGAGAGGAACACCUGCGGCGAAGGCGGGUAGCUGGGCCGACACUGACGCUGAGGCGCGAAAGCCAGGGGAGCGAACGGG